UGAUGGUGUUAUUGUGCCUUUGGAAC
rnacentral:piRNA from 2 species